rnacentral:rRNA from 1 species
GAGUUUGAUCCUGGCUCAGAACGAACGCUGGCGGCGUGGAUAAGACAUGCAAGUCGAACGCUAAUUUCAGGGUAGCAAUAUUCUGGAGUUGGAGUGGCGCAAGGGUGCGUAACACGUGGGUAAUUUGCCGUGAAGUUGGGGAUAACUCGCUGAAAGGCGAGCUAAUACCGAAUGUGGCAACUUGGAGGCAUCUCUAGGUUGUCAAAGUUGGGGACCGCAAGGCCUGACGCUUCAUGAUAAGCCCGCGACCUAUCAGCUAGUUGGUGAGGUAACGGCCCACCAAGGCUAAGACGGGUAGCUGGUCUGAGAGGACGACCAGCCACACUGGAACUGAGACACGGUCCAGACACCUACGGGUGGCAGCAGUCGAGAAUUUUUCACAAUGGGCGCAAGCCUGAUGGAGCGACGCCGCGUGGGGGAUGAAUGGCUUCGGCCCGUAAACCCCUGUCAUUCGCGAUCAACCCUUGUUAUUUAAAAGAUGACAAGCUGAUAGUAGCGGAAGAGGAAGGGACGGCUAACUCUGUGCCAGCAGCCGCGGUAAUACAGAGGUCCCAAGCGUUGUUCGGAUUCACUGGGCGUAAAGGGUGCGUAGGUGGUGAGGUAAGUCGGAUGUGAAAUCUCGGAGCUCAACUCCGAAACGGCAUUGGAAACUACCUUGCUAGAGGAUUGGAGGGGGGACUGGAAUUCUCGGUGUAGCAGUGAAAUGCGUAGAUAUCGAGAGGAACACCAGUGGCGAAGGCGAGUCCCUGGACAACUCCUGACACUGAGGCACGAAAGCUAGGGGAGCAAACAGGAUUAGAUACCCUGGUAGU